UUAAUGCCAGUUGCCCUCUUUCCUGAGUAUAAGCGAAUGAGUGACAUAAAGAGAAAAAGUACCAAUUUGUAUGCUGGUGAGUCUUGUGUAUUUUUUUCUCUGUCUCUCUAUGACAGAGAAAUAUAUAUGCUCAUUAUUGAUGUUCAAACUGAUGCUCAAAUUUCCAAGCACCACCUGAACGCCUCAUCGGUCUUUAACUAAUCACUACACCAACGGUUGUCAUUCCGCUUUGCUCUCUGCUGUGGAACUUGACUCACAUCUGUGCUUUGCCUGUGUGCAGAAGAAGAACAAGGACCAGAUCUCCAGUCUUCUCUCUCACAUCCCAACCCCCCAACCCCUCUAUCCUCUGUCCUGCUCCACCUGUUGUCUCUGCCUUCUUUCCAUCUGUAUUUCACUCUGUGGUUUGUGAGAAAUUUUGCCAAACCAAGAAUCUUAUUGCGGUUUGAUUUAAAGCCGUGUCUCUCCUGCUCUGUCUGUUCUCUCUGCUAAAUUUUCUCUCUACCUGUUUUUCACUCUUGGCUUGCUGCUGAAAAACGCCAAGCCAAUAAAGCAAUAAAGAGUGCAUAUUUUGCCUCAACCUAUGAACAAACUGAACAAACAAAGAAAACUCUGCGGUUUGAUUUAAAGCCGUGUCUCUCCUGCUCUGUCUGUUCUCUCUUCUAAAUUUUCUCUCUACCUGUUUUUCACUCUUGGCUUGCUGCUGAAAAACGCCAAGCCAUUAAAGCAAUAAAGAGUGCAUAUAUUGCCUCUACCUGAGAACAAAC